GUGUAAUUCUGUUUUGUAUUUAAUUUAAAGAAAUGCAAUAUUAUAUUAUAUACAUCGAUUAUACAAAUCAUUUGACGGACGACUGUAAAAUUUUACAUAAUAUAUGUUUGUAUUGAUGAUGAUCUUUUUCCUUUUUCUGUUAUUGUGUACCAUGUUAGCUUUUAUAGUUCAAUUAAAUAUCUUACAUGUUUGUUAGUAUAUUUUAUAGAUGAAGCGUGUCUUAUGGGAAAACAAAGGGCGGAUAUGGAGACUCGUAGGAAAAUGGAAGAUAAGAGCGCCUAGUGUAACCAGAACAAUCCGUGCUUCGAGUGGCAUCAGACAGGGUACAUGGACAGAGUGACCAAAGCUGACCUUGAUAACCAUGGUAACCAGCUGAAUCCGAAUAACGAGCGUUUCCAAGCGCCUAAGAAAUGAUCCGACGCGUGUGAUUGGCAAAUUGAUGCAUGGUUACGACUGUAAAUUCGUAUAACGCAUGAAACAUAUACAAACAUGAAAUUGAUUUUUUAUUCUAAAAAAUACUAGUAAUUCUGUUGUUGUUAUCGGUCAAUCAUAACGUGAAUUAAUAUAAUGUAAUGUUAUAAUAAUGAGUUAUUGUGUACAUGAUUUGAGUUUCAUAUACCGCUGUCUGUAAAAAAAAUGUUAAAAUUGGUUGGAUGUUAAAAUCAGACGUUUAUGUCAUUAAAACCUUAAUAAGGUAUUGCUCACAACCAGAAUAACGAAAAGCAAAAUAAAGAACCGGUUGUCUUUUAAUUUUAUUAUUAGUUGUAGAAAACCUUAAACAUAAGUUGUUGUUUUUUGCAUGUUGUAUUGUUUUUAUUUGACGUGUCUUUUAAAUUUAGCACACGCAUUUGACUUGACAUUGAUGUCCUUAAAUUAAUUGAUUUUGAUUGUUAUUUGCAUAAAAAGAAACACAAACAAAAUACA